UACGGAGGGUCCAAGCGUUAUCCGGAAUCAUUGGGUUUAAAGGGUCCGUAGGCGGCCCGAUAAGUCAGUGGUGAAAUCUCCCGGCUCAACCGGGAAAUGGCCAUUGAUACUGUCGGGCUUGAAUUAUUAGGAAGUAACUAGAAUAUGUAGUGUAGCGGUGAAAUGCUUAGAUAUUACAUGGAAUACCAAUUGCGAAGGCAGGUUACUACUAAUAUAUUGACGCUGAUGGACGAAAGCGUGGGUAGCGAACAGG
rnacentral:rRNA from 1 species